rnacentral:rRNA from 1 species
CUAUUUUAUUAGAGCGUCGCAAUGACUCUCGGCAACGGAUAUCUCGGCUCUCGCAUCGAUGAAGAACGUAGCGAAAUGCGAUACUUGGUGUGAAUUGCAGAAUCCCGUGAACCAUCGAGUCUUUGAACGCAAGUUGCGCCCGAAGCCUUUUGGCCGA